UAUAAAAUCUGAAGCUUUGAAAUACAUUUUUUAAUUUGGGCACUUUAAAUGUAUAGAGCUAGUAGUGCAACCGACUGAUUUAUUC
rnacentral:ncRNA from 2 species